UACGUAGGCAGCAAGCGUUGUUCGGAAUUACUGGGCGUAAAGAGCGUGUAGGCGGCCAGGUAGGUCUGCUGUGAAAACUCGAGGCUUAACCUCGAGAUGUCGGCGGAAACCAUCUGGCUAGAGUCCGGAAGAGGAGAGUGGAAUUCCUGGUGUAGCGGUGAAAUGCGCAGAUAUCAGGAAGAACACCCGUGGCGAAGGCGGCUCUCUGGGACGGUACUGACGCUGAGACGCGAAAGCGUGGGGAGCGAACAGG
rnacentral:rRNA from 1 species